GCCGGUGUAGCUCAGUGGUAGAGCGGCGGUUUCGUAAACCGUAGGUCAAGGGUUCAACUCCCUUCAUCGGCUCCA
rnacentral:tRNA from 4 species